UGCCAGCASCCGCGGUAAGACGAGGGACCCUAGCGGUUGUUCGGAAUCAUUGGGCGUAAAGCGGGUGUAGGUGGCUUUGUAAGUCAGGUGUGAAAUCCCUGGGCUCAACCCAGGACGUGCAUCUGAUACUGCGAAGCUUGAGUGCCGGAGAGGUUACUGGAAUACCUGGUGUAGUGGUGAAAUACGUAGAUAUCAGGUGGAACACCGGAGGCGAAGGCGGGUAACUGGCCGGACACUGACACUCAGACCCUAAAGCGUGGGGAUCAAACAGGAUUAGAUACCCUGGUAGUCCAAGGGC
rnacentral:rRNA from 1 species